GGAGACUGUAGCUCAGAGGCAGCGCACCUGCUUUGCAUGCAGAAUGUCCUGGUUCAAUCCCUGCCAUCUCCA